rnacentral:rRNA from 1 species
UACGUAGGUGACAAGCGUUUGUCCGGAUUUACUGGGCGUAAAGAGCGCGCAGGCGGUCGAUCAAGUCGAGUGUGAAAGCCCCCGGCUCAACUGGGGAGGGUCACGCGAUACUGAUCGACUCGAAGGCAGGAGAGGGUAGUGGAAUUCCCGGUGUAGUGGUGAAAUGCGUAGAUAUCGGGAGGAACACCAGUGGCGAAGGCGACUACCUGGCCUGUUCUUGACGCUGAGGCGCGAAAGCUAGGGGAGCAAACGGG